rnacentral:rRNA from 1 species
GAUGAACGCUAGCGGCAGGCAUAAUACAUGCAAGUUGAACGGGAUAAGUUUAGCAAUAAACUUUGAGAGUGGCGCACGGGUGCGUAACACGUAUGCAACCUACCCGAUACAGGGGGAUAGCCUCUCGAAAGAGAGAUUAAUACCCCAUAACAUAGAGUAUAGGCAUCUAUAUUUUAUCAAAGUUCCGACGGUAUCGGAUGGGCAUGCGGUUGAUUAGCUAGUUGGUGAGGUAACGGCUCACCAAGGCGACGAUCAAUAGGGGGUCUGAGAGGAUGUCCCCCCACACUGGUACUGAGACACGGACCAGACUCCUACGGGAGGCAGCAGUAGGGAAUAUUGGUCAAUGGGGGCAACCCUGAACCAGCCAUGCCGCGUGCAGGAAGACUGCCCUAUGGGUUGUAAACUGCUUUUGUACGGGAAGAAAUGUCACUAUGCGUAGUGAUUUGACGGUACCGUAAGAAUAAGGAUCGGCUAACUUCGUGCCAGCCGCCGCAGUAACAC